UCAAAGAGAGGCACAAUGAUAUUUGCAUUUUUGCUUGCAAGAUUAUACAGUUAGGAAGCUGCCUUUGGAAAGUGCAUGGAGGGAGAGUUUGGUUCUCCCUGGCAGUGGGAGAGCAGAGGUGAGGAUGGAUUUAUCUUCUAUGAAUGUCACCACAGAAUGGUAGGAACCUACAGAUGCAACCUGAAACCCUCUUCAGCCUGCCACAGUCCUCCAGGAGCCAGGUGCAGAGUGUUUCAACCAAGGACAGAACUGGACGGAGUGAAAACAGAAAUCUCUGGGGAAUGAGUAGUCACAAUUGUGAAGAAAAAUCGGUGUUGUUCACUAGCCCUCACCGUGGCACACUCGCUCCUGAAGUGCUCUUAUGGCUGGACAGUAGCCAGAGGUUUCUGGGUGCAAGUCCCUACAAGCUUCUGGACCUCUACUAUGCUCUGUCAACAUUCUCAGUUUUUUUCUGCAGUCACAAGAGACAGAAGUUUUCAUUCAUGAGCAU
rnacentral:lncRNA from 1 species